rnacentral:misc_RNA from 1 species
AGCUCAAGUUCUUGAAUCCGAAGGUACUAAAUUUGGCUUCAUGUUUUGUGAUGAGAAUUUGCUUAACAUCACAUGGUGUUGCAAUAUCUUAUUUGGUGUUUCUUUAUGUUCCAAUUUAUUGCUUAGAUGUACAUUCUUUAUCAUUGCAUUGUUCUUCUUUGUCCAUGAAACUUUGGUAUUAACAGGAGAGAGACAGGCCAACAUUAA